UAAAGAAUAAGGAUCGGCUAACUCCGUGCCAGCAGCCGCGGUAAUACGGAGGAUCCAAGCGUUAUCCGGAUUUAUUGGGUUUAAAGGGUGCGUAGGCGGCGUUGUAAGUCAGUGGUGAAAGUUUGCAGCUUAACUGUAAAAUUGCCAUUGAUACUGCAGUGCUUGAGUACAGAUGAGGUGGGCGGAAUGUGUCAUGUAGCGGUGAAAUGCAUAGAUAUGACACAGAACACCGAUUGCGAAGGCAGCUCACUAAACUGUAACUGACGCUGAGGCACGAAAGCGUGGGGAUCAAACAGGAUUAGAUACCCUGGUAGUCCACGCCCUAAACGAUGAUUACUCGAUGUUAGCGAUAUACAGUUAGCGUCAAAGCGAAAGCGUUAAGUAAUCCACCUGGGGAGUACGCCGGCAACGGUGAAACUCAAAGGAAUUGACGGGGGCCCGCACAAGCGGAGGAGCAUGUGGUUUAAUUCGAUGAUACGCGAGGAACCUUACCCGGGCUUGAAAGUUAGUGAAUGAACCAGAAAUGGAUCAGUCCGCAAGGACACGAAACUAGGUGCUGCAUGGCUGUCGUCAGCUCGUGCCGUGAGGUGUUGGGUUAAGUCCCGCAACGAGCGCAACCCCUAUGUUUAGUUGCCAGCACGUAAUGGUGGGGACUCUAAACAGACUGCCUACGCAAGUAGAGAGGAAGGAGGGGACGACGUCAAGUCAUCAUGGCCCUUACGUCCGGGGCUACACACGUGCUACAAUGGUCGAUACAGAGGGCAGCAAGCUAGCAAUAGUAAGCAAAUCUCAAAAAGUCGAUCACAGUUCGGAUUGGGGUCUGCAACUCGACCCCAUGAAGUUGGAUUCGCUAGUAAUCGCAUAUCAGCAAUGAUGCGGUGAAUACGUUCCCGGGCCUUGUACACACCGCCCGUCAAGCCAUGAAAGCUGGGGGAACCUGAAGUCUGUCACCGCAAGGAGCGGCUUAGGUAAA
rnacentral:rRNA from 2 species